AUUGAACGCUGGCGGCAGGCCUAACACAUGCGAGUCGAGCGGAUGAAGGGAGCUUGCUCCUGGAUUCAGCGGCGGACGGGUGAGUAAUGCCUAGGAAUCUGCCUGGUAGUGGGGGAUAACGUCCGGAAACGGGCGCUAAUACCGCAUACGUCCUGAGGGAGAAAGUGGGGGAUCUUCGGACCUCACGCUAUCAGAUGAGCCUAGGUCGGAUUAGCUAGUUGGUGGGGUAAAGGCCUACCAAGGCGACGAUCCGUAACUGGACUGAGAGGAUGAUCAGUCACAAUGGAACUGAGACACGGUCCAGACUCCUACGGGAGGCAGCAGUGGGGAAUAUUGGACAAUGGGCGAAAGCCUGAUCCAGCCAUGCCGCGUGUGUGAAGAAGGUCUUCGGAUUGUAAAGCACUUUAAGUUGGGAGGAAGGGCAGUAAGUUAAUACCUUGCUGUUUUGACGGUACCAACAGAAUAAGCACCGGCUAACUUCGUG
rnacentral:rRNA from 1 species